rnacentral:rRNA from 1 species
GGGUUGUGAGGUUAAGCGACUAAGCGUACACGGUGGAUGCCCUGGCAGUCAGAGGCGAUGAAGGACGUGCUAAUCUGCGAUAAGCGUCGGUAAGGUGAUAUGAACCGUUAUAACCGGCGAUUUCCGAAUGGGGAAACCCAGUGUGUUUCGACACACUAUCAUUAACUGAAUCCAUAGGUUAAUGAGGCGAACCGGGGGAACUGAAACAUCUAAGUACCCCGAGGAAAAGAAAUCAACCGAGAUUCCCCCAGUAGCGGCGAGCGAACGGGGAGCAGCCCAGAGCCUGAAUCAGUGUGUGUGUUAGUGGAAGCGUCUGGAAAGGCGCGCGAUACAGGGUGACAGCCCCGUACACAAAAAUGCACAUGCUGUGAGCUCGAUGAGUAGGGCGGGACACGUGGUAUCCUGUCUGAAUAUGGGGGGACCAUCCUCCAAGGCUAAAUACUCCUGACUGACCGAUAGUGAACCAGUACCGUGAGGGAAAGGCGAAAAGAACCCCGGCGAGGGGAGUGAAAAAGAACCUGAAACCGUGUACGUACAAGCAGUGGGAGCACGCUUAGGCGUGUGACUGCGUACCUUUUGUAUAAUGGGUCAGCGACUUAUAUUCUGUAGCAAGGUUAACCGAAUAGGGGAGCCGAAGGGAAACCGAGUCUUAACUGGGCGUUAAGUUGCAGGGUAUAGACCCGAAACCCGGUGAUCUAGCCAUGGGCAGGUUGAAGGUUGGGUAACACUAACUGGAGGACCGAACCGACUAAUGUUGAAAAAUUAGCGGAUGACUUGUGGCUGGGGGUGAAAGGCCAAUCAAACCGGGAGAUAGCUGGUUCUCCCCGAAAGCUAUUUAGGUAGCGCCUCGUGAAUUCAUCUCCGGGGGUAGAGCACUGUUUCGGCAAGGGGGUCAUCCCGACUUACCAACCCGAUGCAAACUGCGAAUACCGGAGAAUGUUAUCACGGGAGACACACGGCGGGUGCUAACGUCCGUCGUGAAGAGGGAAACAACCCAGACCGCCAGCUAAGGUCCCAAAGUCAUGGUUAAGUGGGAAACGAUGUGGGAAGGCCCAGACAGCCAGGAUGUUGGCUUAGAAGCAGCCAUCAUUUAAAGAAAGCGUAAUAGCUCACUGGUCGAGUCGGCCUGCGCGGAAGAUGUAACGGGGCUAAACCAUGCACCGAAGCUGCGGCAGCGACACUAUGUGUUGUUGGGUAGGGGAGCGUUCUGUAAGCCUGUGAAGGUGUACUGUGAGGUAUGCUGGAGGUAUCAGAAGUGCGAAUGCUGACAUAAGUAACGAUAAAGCGGGUGAAAAGCCCGCUCGCCGGAAGACCAAGGGUUCCUGUCCAACGUUAAUCGGGGCAGGGUGAGUCGACCCCUAAGGCGAGGCCGAAAGGCGUAGUCGAUGGGAAACAGGUUAAUAUUCCUGUACUUGGUGUUACUGCGAAGGGGGGACGGAGAAGGCUAUGUUGGCCGGGCGACGGUUGUCCCGGUUUAAGCGUGUAGGCUGGUUUUCCAGGCAAAUCCGGAAAAUCAAGGCUGAGGCGUGAUGACGAGGCACUACGGUGCUGAAGCAACAAAUGCCCUGCUUCCAGGAAAAGCCUCUAAGCAUCAGGUAACAUCAAAUCGUACCCCAAACCGACACAGGUGGUCAGGUAGAGAAUACCAAGGCGCUUGAGAGAACUCGGGUGAAGGAACUAGGCAAAAUGGUGCCGUAACUUCGGGAGAAGGCACGCUGAUAUGUAGGUGAGGUCCCUCGCGGAUGGAGCUGAAAUCAGUCGAAGAUACCAGCUGGCUGCAACUGUUUAUUAAAAACACAGCACUGUGCAAACACGAAAGUGGACGUAUACGGUGUGACGCCUGCCCGGUGCCGGAAGGUUAAUUGAUGGGGUCAGCGCAAGCGAAGCUCUUGAUCGAAGCCCCGGUAAACGGCGGCCGUAACUAUAACGGUCCUAAGGUAGCGAAAUUCCUUGUCGGGUAAGUUCCGACCUGCACGAAUGGCGUAAUGAUGGCCAGGCUGUCUCCACCCGAGACUCAGUGAAAUUGAACUCGCUGUGAAGAUGCAGUGUACCCGCGGCAAGACGGAAAGACCCCGUGAACCUUUACUAUAGCUUGACACUGAACAUUGAGCCUUGAUGUGUAGGAUAGGUGGGAGGCUUUGAAGUGUGGACGCCAGUCUGCAUGGAGCCGACCUUGAAAUACCACCCUUUAAUGUUUGAUGUUCUAACGUUGACCCGUAAUCCGGGUUGCGGACAGUGUCUGGUGGGUAGUUUGACUGGGGCGGUCUCCUCCUAAAGAGUAACGGAGGAGCACGAAGGUUGGCUAAUCCUGGUCGGACAUCAGGAGGUUAGUGCAAUGGCAUAAGCCAGCUUGACUGCGAGCGUGACGGCGCGAGCAGGUGCGAAAGCAGGUCAUAGUGAUCCGGUGGUUCUGAAUGGAAGGGCCAUCGCUCAACGGAUAAAAGGUACUCCGGGGAUAACAGGCUGAUACCGCCCAAGAGUUCAUAUCGACGGCGGUGUUUGGCACCUCGAUGUCGGCUCAUCACAUCCUGGGGCUGAAGUAGGUCCCAAGGGUAUGGCUGUUCGCCAUUUAAAGUGGUACGCGAGCUGGGUUUAGAACGUCGUGAGACAGUUCGGUCCCUAUCUGCCGUGGGCGCUGGAGAACUGAGGGGGGCUGCUCCUAGUACGAGAGGACCGGAGUGGACGCAUCACUGGUGUUCGGGUUGUCAUGCCAAUGGCACUGCCCGGUAGCUAAAUGCGGAAGAGAUAAGUGCUGAAAGCAUCUAAGCACGAAACUUGCCCCGAGAUGAGUUCUCCCUGACCCUUUAAGGGUCCUGAAGGAACGUUGAAGACGACGACGUUGAUAGGCCGGGUGUGUAAGCGCAGCGAUGCGUUGAGCUAACCGGUACUAAUGAACCGUGAGGCUUAACCUUACAACGCCGAAGCUGUU